GACGGAGGAUGCAAGUGUUAUCCGGAAUCACUGGGCGUAAAGCGUCUGUAGGUGGUCAAAUAAGUCAACUGUUAAAUCUUGAGGCUCAACCUCAAAACCGCAGUCGAAACUAUUAGACUAGAGUAUAGUAGGGGUAAAGGGAAUUUCCAGUGGAGCGGUGAAAUGCGUAGAUAUUGGAAGGAACACCGAUGGCGAAGGCACUUUACUGGGCUAUUACUAACACUCAGAGACGAAAGCUAGGGUAGCAAAUGGG
rnacentral:rRNA from 1 species